GACGAACGCUGGCGGCGUGCUUAACACAUGCAAGUCGAACGAUGAAGCCUAGCUUGCUAGGUGGAUUAGUGGCGAACGGGUGAGUAAUACGUGAGUAACCUACCUUUAACUCUGGGAUAAGCCUGGGAAACUGGGUCUAAUACCGGAUACGACCAAUCUCCGCAUGGGGUGUUGGUGGAAAGCGUUAUGUAGUGGUUAUAGAUGGGCUCACGGCCUAUCAGCUUGUUGGUGAGGUAACGGCUCACCAAGGCGACGACGGGUAGCCGGCCUGAGAGGGUGACCGGCCACACUGGGACUGAGACACGGCCCAGACUCCUACGGGAGGCAGCAGUGGGGAAUAUUGCACAAUGGGCGCAAGCCUGAUGCAGCGACGCCACGUGAGGGAUGACGGCCUUCGGGUUGUAAACCUCUGUUAGCAGGGAAGAAGAGAGAUUGACGGUACCUGCAGAGAAAGCGCCGGCUAACUACGUGCCAGCAGCCGCGGUAAUACGUAGGGCGCGAGCGUUGUCCGGAAUUAUUGGGCGUAAAGAGCUUGUAGGCGGUUUGUCGCGUCUGCUGUGAAGGCCGGAGCUUAACUCCGUGUAUUGCAGUGGGUACGGGCAGACUAGAGUGCAGUAGGGGAGACUGGAAUUCCUGGUGUAGCGGUGGAAUGCGCAGAUAUCAGGAGGAACACCGAUGGCGAAGGCAGGUCUCUGGGCUGUAACUGACGCUGAGAAGCGAAAGCAUGGGGAGCGAACAGGAUUAGAUACCCUGGUAGUCCAUGCCGUAAACGUUGGGCACUAGGUGUGGGGAACAUUCCACGUUUUCCGCGCCGUAGCUAACGCAUUAAGUGCCCCGCCUGGGGAGUACGGCCGCAAGGCUAAAACUCAAAGAAAUUGACGGGGGCCCGCACAAGCGGCGGAGCAUGCGGAUUAAUUCGAUGCAACGCGAAGAACCUUACCAAGGCUUGACAUAUACUGGACCGCAUCAGAGAUGGUGUUUCCCUUCGGGGCUGGUAUACAGGUGGUGCAUGGUUGUCGUCAGCUCGUGUCGUGAGAUGUUGGGUUAAGUCCCGCAACGAGCGCAACCCUCGUUCUAUGUUGCCAGCACGUUAUGGUGGGGACUCAUAGGAGACUGCCGGGGUCAACUCGGAGGAAGGUGGGGACGACGUCAAAUCAUCAUGCCCCUUAUGUCUUGGGCUUCACGCAUGCUACAAUGGCCGGUACAGAGGGUUGCGAUACUGUGAGGUGGAGCUAAUCCCUAAAAGCCGGUCUCAGUUCGGAUUGGGGUCUGCAACUCGACCCCAUGAAGUCGGAGUCGCUAGUAAUCGCAGAUCAGCAACGCUGCGGUGAAUACGUUCCCGGGCCU
rnacentral:rRNA from 1 species